CAGUGACCUCAGUCGAUGAUGGAUCGUCUGCAGGCCUUCCAACUCUUGUUGACAUUUGGAUCUCUGAGGGUGAGUCAGCCUUAGCCAACCCGACACUGGCCAGGCGGCUCAUCGAAGCUGCCCUUCCCCCGACUGAUCGAGAGAGCAGCAAGAACAAAAUUGUUACUGAAAUAUUUUCUUCCUUUGAUCCAAUGAUACUUAGGAUAAGUUUUUUUUUGACAUUUUUUUUUAUCUGACUUGAUUCAUCUUUUGCUUUCAAUGGGCAGAUGACAUGCAUGAUCUUGAGAGUGGCUAUCGAAAGAUUACUGACUUUCAUCGGUCGUGGAUGGAUAAGGUGGCGGUCAUCACCAUCGAGAAGACUGCUGUCAUAGAACAACAUCAGGCGGUGACUGAAUGGGAGAAGGAACUUCAGGA
rnacentral:lncRNA from 1 species